rnacentral:lncRNA from 1 species
CUACCACAAACAGAAGUCUGGAAAGUGAAAAUUUAUUUCCUUUUCACCAUGACCAGCCUUGUUCAGGACAUCUGAGAGGCACAGACCUGAGAAAGAAUCCCCAGGCUGAAGAGGUAGAAGUUGGCAGAAGUUAAAAGCAAUGUCUCCACAAUGGAGAAGUGACAUGCUAAAGGAACCUGGCAUCUAGACAUUUCCUAACCCCCAAUCCCUCCUUACAUAUGACCUGCUCUUAGAGGAGUACAGCGUGGUGGUUAGGAGUGUGGACUCGGCAGCCAGAAAUCCUGGGAUCUGUUGCUUGUUAGCUGUGGGCCUUAAGCUAAGAACUUAACCUCUCUGUGCCUCAGUUGCUCCAUCUGUUCAAAUGAAGAUAAUGAUAAUGAAGAUGA